rnacentral:rRNA from 1 species
CUGGGGAACUUGAGUGCAGAAGAGGAGAGUGGAAUUCCACGUGUAGCGGUGAAAUGCGUAGAGAUGUGGAGGAACACCAGUGGCGAAGGCGACUCUCUGGUCUGUAACUGACGCUGAGGCGCGAAAGCGUGGGGAGCGAACAGGAUUAGAUACCCUGGUAGUCCACGCCGUAAACGAUGAGUGCUAAGUGUUAGAGGGUUUCCGCCCUUUAGUGCUGCAGCAAACGCAUUAAGCACUCCGCCUGGGGAGUACGGUCGCAAGACUGAAACUCAAAGGAAUUGACGGGGGCCCGCACAAGCGGUGGAGCAUGUGGUUUAAUU